rnacentral:rRNA from 1 species
AAUAGAUACCCUGGUAGUCCACGCCGUAAACGAUGAGUGCCAAGUGUUAGAGGGUUUCCGCCCUUUAGUGCUGCAGCAAACGCAUUAAGCACUCCGCCUGGGGAGUACGGUCGCAAGACUGAAACUCAAAGGAAUUGACGGGGGCCCGCACAAGCGGUGGAGCAUGUGGUUUAAUUCGAAGCAACGCGAAGAACCUUACCAGGUCUUGACAUCCUCUGACAACCCUAGAGAUAGGGCUUCCCCUUCGGGGGCAGAGUGACAGGUGGUGCAUGGUUGUCGUCAGCUCGUGUCGUGAGAUGUUGGGUUAAGUCCCGCAACGAGCGCAACCCUUGAUCUUAGUUGCCAGCAUUCAGUUGGGCACUCUAAGGUGACUGCCGGUGACAAACCGGAGGAAGGUGGGGAUGACGUCAAAUCAUCAUGCCCCUUAUGACCUGGGCUACACACGUGCUACAAUGGGCAGAACAAAGGGCAGCGAAGCCGCGAGGCUAAGCCAAUCCCACAAAUCUGUUCUCAGUUCGGAUCGC